UGAAAGCGCCCUCUAAGGUUACCCUUAGAGGGCGCUUUUGAAAAAGCGCUCUCUAAGUCCAUGUACAUUUCCAGUUUAGAAGGCGCUUUUGGAAAGCCUUAGAGAGCGCUUUCAGAAGCGCCCUCUUAGGCCCCCUUUAGAGGGCGCUUUUUUUAAAAAAGCGCCCUCUAAGGUCCCCUUUAGUAAACAUUAAAAUUAUAACAUAUACUGCAUGUCUCUUUAUUUUCCCUCUCUAUAAGCUAUUUCGUUUACGUAACUGGGUUUUCUCUCAACUGCGAUUACUCUCUACUGCGAUUACUCUCGUCCUCCGUUCGUUCUCCCUCCCUCACCGUCAUCGUCGCCGUUCGUUCUCCCUCCCUCACCGUUCACGUUCACUGCGUUAACCUCUUCCACCGUCACUGUUCAC
rnacentral:lncRNA from 1 species